rnacentral:rRNA from 1 species
GAUGAACGCUGACAGAAUGCUUAACACAUGCAAGUCGAUGGGGAAGUGGUGCUUGCACCAUGGUAACCAUUGCGGACGGGUGAGUAACGCGUAAGGAACUAACCUCCGGGACCGGGUUAACAGAAGGAAACAACUGACAAAACCUGACAAGUCCAUUAAGCUACUUAGCUGUUCAAUAAAAAGAGACGCCUGUGGGGGGCCUUGAGUCCUAUGACCUGGUUGGAGGGGUAACGGACCACCAAGGAGAUGAUAGAUAGCCGGCCUGGUAGGGUGGACGGCCACAAGGGGCAUGAGAUACGACCAUUACUGCUACGGGAGGAAGCAGUGGGGAAUAUUGGAAAAUGGGGGCAACCAUGAUCCAGCAAUUUUGUGUGGAAGAAGACGGUUUUCGGAUUGUAAAGUGCUUUCAGCAGGGAAGAAGGAAGUGAAGGUACCUGCAGAAGAAGCGACGGCUAAAUACGUG